CGGGCCAUAGUACAGUGGCAGUAUGUACCCAUGGGGUGGGUAUGGCGGCGGUUCGAUUCCGCCUGGCCCGA
rnacentral:tRNA from 1 species